CGGGUGCACUGAUCCAGCCGGGCCUUUCCCUCUGUGGAACCCCAUGGCCUUCACUGGCUGUGGUGGGGAAACAGGACUUUUACUUUGAAAAAAUUAGAGUGCUCCAGGCAGGCCUAUGCUCGAAUACAUUAGCAUGGAAUAAUAGAAUAGGACGUGUGGUUCUAUUUUGUUGGUUUCUAGGACCGCCGUAAUGAUUAAUAGGGACAGUCGGGGGCAUCAGUAUUCAAUUGUCAGAGGUGAAAUUCUUGGAUCUAUUGAAGACUAACUACUGCGAAAGCAUUUGCCAAGGAUGUUUUCAUUGAUAAGGAACGAAAGUUAGGGGAUCGAAGACGAUCAGAUACCGUCGUAGUCUUAACUAUAAACUAUGCCGACUAGGGAUCGGACGAUGUUAUUCUUUGACGCGUUCGGCACCUUUCGAGAAAUCAAAGUGCUUGGGCUCCAGGGGGAGUAUGGUCGCAAGGCUGAAACUUAAAGAAAUUGACGGAAGGGCACCACCAGGGGUGGAACCUGCGGCUUAAUUUGACUCAACACGGGGAAACUCACCAGGUCCAGACACAGUGAGGAUUGACAGAUUGAGAGCUCUUUCUUGAUUCUGUGGGUGGUGGUGCAUGGCCGUUCUUAGUUGGUGGAGUGAUUUGUCUGCUUAAUUGCGAUAACGAACGAGACCUUAACCUGCUAAAUAGCCCGUACCGCUUUGGCAGUUCGCCGGCUUCUUAGAGGGACUAUCGG
rnacentral:rRNA from 1 species